CGGGUGUAGCUCAAUGGCAGAGCCCCAGCUUCCCAAGCUGAUUACGUGGGUUCGAUUCCCAUCACCC
rnacentral:tRNA from 2 species